UGUAGACCUUAUUUCCACAACAGUCCCCCCUAAAAUGGCUAUUUACCAUAACAACUGCUACUGUCCCUAAUAUAUCCCUAAUGAUAUGCUCCUAAUCUAUCUCAGUAGGCAUCGAACACUUCACUCCGUGGGUAACCCGCAGCGGCUAAUCCACUACAUCUCCACACGUGAGACUCGCCUGCCAAGACAGAUGCUUUCCCUAUACUAUCCCUACAGGAAAGCAGUUGUCUGUUUGAACUGAUGUGCUUGAAGGGGUGUAUGUGGUGUGUCAUCUUCGAGGUCUGUGACGUCCUGAUGUAGGAAAGUAGGGGUCACGUCAACUAUAGUCUUAUCUACUGCUUUUUGUAAGUACUUCUGUAUGCAAGGGAGUACGCAACAGGUUAGAAAUAAGAAAAUGAUGAUCAUUAUAAGAACAGCUGUCCCUACCUGGAAGAGGGUCCUUUGCCAACCAUUCAUCCAUCCAAACCAUCUGUCCCAAGUGUCAGUGACUCCUGAAUUUUUCUUUAGCUCGUCUGCAAGACUAUCUAGCUUCUCUAUGGCCAUAGUCACCUUACCAUUGGGCCCAGUGUUGUCUGGAAUGUAUGUGCAACAUGUCAUGGUCUCAGGGAGGAUUUUACAUACACCCCCUUUCUCAGCUAAAAUCAUAUCUAGGGCCAUUCUGUUCUGAAAUGUAAUUUGGGUAGUGGCUUGUAAUUGCUCUGCCAGGCCCUGUAGGGCAUCCCUAGUGUAGUUGACAAAGCGCUGUUGAUUAUAGUAAAUGUAGUUAAUCCAAUUGACAUUUUUGUUAGAAGUUAUCAUUGGAAUUAGGGAUUCAAAUCCUGCAGCCACUUCAUCUCUUGCUUUGUAUUCUUUAGGCACCCCCCUUGGCACACCUAUGGCAUCAAUAUACACAUGGGGGUCAAAGCUCCCUCGGAUAGGAGCCCCUCGUUUGGUUCUAGAGUGUACAUGUGUAAGGUUUAACGUGUUAUGACUACCAUCUGGAAUAAUGUGGAUAGGCAUUAUGACUUUGGUUAGGGCACACUCCCCCCACCACUGCUCAGCUAAUUGGGACCUCAAUUGUCUGUCACCACAUAACCAAUAGAUAUCUCCAAUGGUCUUUGCAUGAUUUAUUAGCAGUGACACAGGUGGGCUAUGGUAGGUUGAGCAAUAUCCAGAUGGGAAUCUGCCCAGAUACACACCAGUAUUCUUAGGUAUAGCAUAACAUGUGUAAUUACCUGGAUACACGGUGACUCCAUCAGGUGGCUUGACAUAUCCAUGAGUGAUUGGGUAAACCCUUUUCCAUGAUUCACAUGUUGAGGAGUUGGUGGUGGAUUGUGCAUAAAGACUCAGAACACAUAAUUCUACUUCAGGAGGUAGGCUUAGAG